UCGAAUGAGGCAAGACUACCCGCUGAACUUAAGCAUAUCACUAAGCGGAGGAGAAGAAACUAACCAGGAUGCCCCUAGUAAUGGCGAAUGAAGCGGGCGUAGCUCACGCUGCCAAUCUGGAGGCCGACUCUUGCGUGUCUCCCGAAUUGUGGUCUAGGAAGGCGCCAUCGGCCGCGCGCGUCGCCGAAAUCCCUUGGAAGAGGGUAUCGGAGAAGGUGAGAAUCCUGUGCCGUGGCGCGUCGCGGCCUCACGAUGCGUCCUUGUCGAGUCGGGUUGCUUGGGAUUGCAGCUUGAAGUGGGUGGUAAAUUCCAUCUAAAGCUAAAUAGUGGCGAGAGACCGAUAGCGAACAAGUACCGUGAGGGAAAGAUGCAAAGAACUUUGAAAAGAGAGUCAAAGAGUGCUUGAAAUUGGCAGGAGGAAACCCGGUUGC
rnacentral:rRNA from 13 species